rnacentral:rRNA from 1 species
UACGGGGGGAGCAAGCGUUGUUCGGAUUUACUGGGCGUAAAGGGCGCGUAGGCGGCGCAACAAGUCACUUGUGAAAUCUCCGGGCUUAACCCGGAGCGGUCAAGUGAUACUGUCGUGCUAGAGUGCGGAAGGGGCUACUGGAAUUCUCGGUGUAGCGGUGAAAUGCGUAGAUAUCGAGAGGAACACCAGUGGCGAAGGCGGCGACCUGGGCCAAUAUUGACGCUGAGGUGCGAAAGCGUGGGGAGCAAACAGG